rnacentral:rRNA from 1 species
UACAUAGGGGGCUAGCGUUGUCCGGAUUUAUUGGGCGUAAAGAGCGUGUAGGCGGCCAGGUAGGUCCGGUGUGAAAACUCGAGGCUUAACCUCGAGAUGUCAUCGGAAACCAUCUGGCUAGAGUCCGGAAGAGGAAAGUGGAAUUCCUGGUGUAGCGGUGAAAUGCGCAGAUAUCAGGAAGAACACCAAUGGCGAAAGCAGCUUUCUGGGACGGUACUGACGCUGAGACGCGAAAGCGUGGGGAGCGAACAGG